GCAAAAAAAAUUUAUAUUUAUACUCGUGUUUUGGCAGUAUAUUUUAAAAUUCAAGAAUGAAGAUAAUCAUUUUUUAAUUUUUCUGAUCAAGAAAUUCAACUAAUGGAUAUUUGAAAUAUAUGCAAAUAUUAAGUUUUAAAGGAAAGCAAAUUGGUUUGUAACAGGUUUGUAAAACUAUUAAUUUUUAACAAAAAGGAAGACAGAUUUUUUAAUAAAAAAUAUGUUCUAAGAUUUAAUUAUUUAUUAUACAUAAAAUAAUUGCCAAUUAAUCAUUUAAGAAUUUCAACUUUUAAUAUUUCUAUGAGUGUUUUGUUUAGAAUAUAUGUAUUAUCAUAUACAUAUAUAUUUAAAACAAUUUAUACUAUAUCCAUGCAUUGUACAUAAAUUUACUUUAUACAUAUGUACAUAUGUAAUUAACUUAAUAAAAGCUAUGUAUAUAUAUGUGUAUCAAACACACGAUCUUGCUGACUUUACAGAAACAUUUUAAAAAAUAUAUUUGUGAAUAUUUCAUUCUAGUAUCUUGAUAUUUCUAUUUAUAUAUUGAAUUGGUAUAAUAAUAUAUGCGUAUGUAAAUAUAUAAUUAAGAAUGAAAUAUUCAUAAAAAAUAUAUGUGUAUAUAUAUAUAUAUAUAUAUAUAUACACAUACAUAUACACAUAUACAUAUAUUUAUAUAUAUUAUAUAUAUAUAAAGAAGGUACAUAUUUGUGCCAUUAAGCGUUAUAUCUUUCAAACUCACUCAAUUCAAUGCAAUUUAAAAUUGCCAUUAAAACGUAUGUACACUUACAUUAAUUGAAGCUUUUGAAUUUUUAUAUAAACAUUAUUUGCCAGCAAAUAAUAGCAUUUGUUAAUUGACUCAAUAAUAAUAGUUAUCCUAAAUGUGUACUACAAUAAAUUAAUUUGAAUAACUUCAGAUUUCUG